rnacentral:rRNA from 1 species
UACGUAGGGGGCAAGCGUUGUCCGGAUUUAUUGGGCGUAAAGAGCGUGUAGGCGGCCUGGAAGGUCAGCUGUGAAAACUCGAGGCUCAACCUCGAGACGUCGGUUGAAACCACCUGGCUAGAGUCCGGAAGAGGAGUGUGGAAUUCCCGGUGUAGCGGUGGAAUGCGCAGAUAUCGGGAGGAACACCCGUGGCGAAGGCGGUCUGCUGGGCCGUUGCUGACGCUGAGGCGCGACAGCGUGGGGAUCAAACAGG